rnacentral:rRNA from 1 species
GUCUACGGCCAUGCCACCCUGAACAAGCCUGAUCCUGUCUGAUCUCGGAAGCGAAGCAGGGUCGGGCCUGGUUAGUACUUGGAUGGGAGACCAUCUAGGAAGACCAAGAGCUGUAGGCA